rnacentral:lncRNA from 1 species
AAUACUUCCUACUGUCCAGUGCCUAAACACAGGAUAGAGUGCUAAACCCCAUCUCCUUGUCCCUUGUUCUUCUGGAAUAUGUUCUCAUGAAACAAUCAGUUAACGUUUGGGUGUGGCAUGUAGGAAGCAUUGUACCCUGUAAUGCUCAAGCCAGGUUCCUCUCUAUUGGGCCAGGCUUCAGCAGAGAAUCCUUAGGCAAGGAUAAAGUCUUGGGAAGAGUCACACCAAGAAGUGAGGCUUCCUGCACGGACGCAAAAGCACAUGAGACCACAUGUGUCACUGAGAUGGACCCUUUCUAGGUCAAGGAACUGCCACCCUGGGGCAUAGUUUCAGUCACAAGAUAUCUUGGAGUUGUCUAGAGGAGGAGAACAAAUCUCAUGCUUAGAUUUCCAGUGAGAAUUCUUCUGUGAGCAUUUUCAUGUUAUCUUUUGACAAAAUGGUUAUUAUCUCGCUAAUC